ensembl:lncRNA
AUUCCUUUGGUCUUUUGCCACCGGCCUUGCCUGUCUCUGCAUUGAAUCUUCCUUGCUCUCCCCGGUGGCUCAGCUUCCCCGAAGCACGGAUUUGAGAACCUACCGUUCAUUGAAGUCUCAGAGUCGGCGCUGACAUGUUAGUGGUGGGCCCUGACCCCGGUGUGAGCGUUUAGCACAGUUGCUGUGUGGCUCUCAUCAGCCCUGGGAGAUGGUGGGAGCAGGGGACAUUUCAGAGGGACGUUGCACUCCUUACAGAAGCGGUACCAGCAAAAACAGAUUCAGCGAUGCACUUGAGACCCGUGACGGCGAAAGGAGUGCCCGAGGUUCCCGCCGUGAAGCCAGAGUGCCUGCCAUCUGGGUUGUUCAUGAACCUGCAGACGGGGACACCUGUGCAGGUUUUUCCCUGGAUCAGAGGUGUUUUAGAGCUUGCGUUGUUCAAUUAGCGUUCUUCACUUUUGUACUUCGGUAAAUUUAUAUUGCCUCUAACGUGCAGAUAAUACUAAAAUCUCGCCCAUUUGACCCCCACGUUCUGUGACCACUAAUGAAUCCAAACCACUAUAUCCUUGCAUCUGGGCAUGGUGCCACGUAAGUUUGUUUUAACCUAGCGCCAUCCUUUGCUGGUUCGUUUGUUGUUUGGGGCUCUAACUUGAAGAGCCCAGGCCUGUUGUCCUGCGUGUCCUGUCUGGCGGUUGGUCCAGCUGCCGCCUCUCCGUGAGGUUUGUUUCUCAUCUACUGGUUGCACUUAAACUGCGUGGGGGGCUCCAAUGAAACGUUUUUUAGCUGGAGUACUUCGGAGGCGAAGUCGGUAUCCAGUUUCCUCACAUCAAACGUGCCUGGUACCAGUGUCCCGCCCUCAGUGAGGUCAGGCGUGGCCGCUGGAUGGGGUGACGGUCUGAGGCCACCGCCUCCUGUGCACCUGGCGCACGUCCCACUUGUCAACGUGAGCAGUAUAGUACAGAGGCGUCGACCGCGCGUCUGGUGUUUUUUCCAUCAGUUGGUAAGCCUUGCCUGAUUCAGUGGUGUCAUUAAAAUUUUAUGGAAUGAUUUUCUGUGCCUAUUAUGUGUCCUGCUCUUGUCAAGUGGAUUUCUCCUAGAAAGCAGCGCCUCGAUCGCGGCUGCCAGGGCCGUCCGGCUGCUCAGGAGGGCCGCCCUGCUGGAAGAACAAACAAAAUGCUGCUCUGCUUUGAGUUCCUGAUUUUACAUGAAGAAAUUGUUUAACAGCUUCUUCAAAUGGUGAGACAUUUGGGUUUUUUGUUUGUUUGUUUUUUGUCUUUUCUGGGGCCGCUCCCGCAGCACAUGGAGGUUCCCAGGCUAGGGGUCUCAUCGGAGCUACAGCCACUGGCCUACGCCAGAGCCACAGCAACGUGGGAUCUGAGCCGUGUCUGCGACCUACACGACCGUUCACAGAAACGCCGGAUCCUUAACCCACCGAGUGAGGCCAGGGAUCGAACCCUCAACCUCAUGGUUCCUAGUCGGAUUUGCUAACCACUGCGCCACGACGGGAACUCUUUAACUUGCUUUUUGAACUUGGGUUUUCAUCCCUUAAAGUCACUCUGGUUGCUCCGAUGGUCACAGCUUCGGCAGGUGGGAGUUUUCUUGUGCCCUUUUGACGUGACUCGUUCAUCUUUGAAAGAUGGAUUUCUCUUUGUCCCAAGGAGUUGUAAUCCCCCCAGGGCAGGGGGCUGGACCUGUCUUACUCCUUGGGG